CUCUCCCCUGCUCCCCUUCCAUCUAAAACACCUGUGACUGGGUGGUAGAUUAUUCCAGCCCAGGUCAGAAGAGAUAAGGGGAGCAACUGAGUUGUUUAUUGUCCUUUGUAUCUUCCAGGAGUCCUCAACCAACAAAAGAUAAGGAAACCGAGGCUCAGAAAGAUGACAUCCCUUGUCUACAAGCGACACUGUAUACUGGCUGGAUCAACUGAGAACGAACUCCAAGGUUCAUGGAACUGUCUUCAGCCAUGUUGCCAUCUAAGAAAGCAAAGAAUAUUAAAUGUGUCCUUUGUACAAUGAAAGUGAUGCUCAUUACUCCAUUGAGCCAACUGUAACUGUUCUGUGACCUGAGAAUUUUCCUUCUAUUUAGUUUCACUAAAAGCACUAUCUCUAGAGCUUGGAUUCCAUUAUUUACUUCUUUUGUCACUACUUAUGAGAAGCAUUCUCCUUUUCUUUUUUAGAUUCUGGCCCCUGAUGUGUUUUGAAAGUAACCACAUCUCCAUUUGAUUGUCUUACUUCCAAUAGAACAUAGACUUAGCUCUUUUGCCUUCCCCAGAUAGGUAUUAUUUUCCAAAACUUAUCAGGUUUUUUUUUUUUCCUGUGACCUCUGUACAACUGGUAUUUGCCAAAUCACUGGCAUGUAGAUGACAGCAUGAUUCCAUUGUUGACCUAACCAGUAGCUAGCACUGCUGAAUAAUUGCUCUGCUUGUUUUACAUGAUACAUCUAUUAAUGCAAUCCAAUAUAGCAUUUGCCUUUUGGUGACAGUGUAGUACUGUUGAAUCAUAUUUAAUUUUUCAUCCAUUAUUC
rnacentral:lncRNA from 1 species